rnacentral:misc_RNA from 1 species
GAUGAAGAACGUAGCGAAAUGCGAUAAGUAAUGUGAAUUGCAGAAUUCAGUGAAUCAUCGAAUCUUUGAACGCACCUUGCACCCUUUGGUAUUCCGAAGGGUAUGCUCGUUUGAGUGUCAUUGUACUCUCACACUUCCGAUCGUUUGGAUCGGGAGCGGUGGACUUGGGUGUUGCUGCUUUACUGUGGCUCACCUUAAAUGCAUUAGUGCACCUUUCGGUUGGACAUAGUACGGCGUGAUAAGUGUCUUCGCCGGCACCUCACAGAGGGUGGCUGAUCGGGAGCUCUGUGCUUCAAACCGUCUUCGGACAACAACUGACAACUUGACCUCAAAUCGAGUAGGACCACCCGCUGAACUUAAGCAUAUCAAUAAGCGGAGGA